UAUGAUCAUAUCAAACUUAAGCACCAGUUCUCAUAUGGUCACCAAAGUUAAGCAAUGUCAAGUCUGGUCAGUACCUAGAUGGGUGAACACUUGGGUAAACCAGGUGCUGUAAG